GUAAUGUGUAGUCUUGAUUUCCUCAAGUUUCUUCUUGAUUCUAAACAAUAGUUUUUUUGGGGUUUUGAUUGAACCUAGGAUUUUGCGGUACCAAAGGGCUUAAUCUAUUUCUAAGUGUUUUUCUACACUGUGAAGAGGUAGGCAUUAGGUUCUUAUUUGGCACGCAUGGUGAGCUGGGAGUUUCCAUUGUUAUAAGUAUGUAUGCUGCAGGGAGCUCGUGGACGGAGACGAUCCAGAAAUGCCAUAAAAUAAUGAUCAAUCUAUCUUUUAUUUAUUUACAAACUUAGUGGGUUGUAUUAUUUUCUACAAAAUUGCAUAAAGACAUUAUGUUUUGUUUUUAAACAUUUGUGCCCAUACUACCUUAUUUUUUAAUAAGGUCCCACUGAACUUUUGGACUAUUAUUGGAAUUUUCUAUAUAAGUGUCAAAAA